GCCUCGAUAGCUCAGUAGUUAGAGCACCUGCCAUGAGUUCAGGGUGUCGUGGGUUCGAUUCCCGCUCUGGGCA